UUCUUCCAAUGAUGUUAGCACUGGGCACAGACUGCUGUGAUGAUAACCGUGCCCCCCCCUUGCCUUUGACAUCUUGGGGGACUGAGGAACAG